rnacentral:lncRNA from 1 species
CAAAAAUUAGUCUCGAUGGUCACGUGACAAUUAGAUUCAUUCUUCCCUGAAAUUUGAUGACUACGAAGAGCUGGUAGCUACCAGACAUGAGGAAAUAUUGUUAAUACUGUUUUCCCCCUUCACUUUUUCAGCCUGGACCCUCUCGUUUGGUGUCCUAGAGUCUCCUGGGACAGGACCAGGCUCCACUGCUUCGUUUGGUGUCCUAGAGUCUCCUGGGACAGGACCAGGCUCCACUGCUUCGUUUGGUGUCCUAGAGUCUCCUGGGACAGGACCAGGCUCCACUGCUUCGUUUGGUGUCCUAGAGUCUCCUGGGACAGACCAGCCUCCACCAAGCUUCGUUUGGUGUCCUAGAGUCUCCUGGGACAGGACCAGGCUCCACUGCUCGCUUGGUGUCCUAGAGUCUCCUGGGACAGGACCAGGCUCCACUGCUUCGUUUGGUGUCCUAGAGUCUCCUGGGACAGGAUCAGGCUCCACUGCUAGGUUCCUGGUGGUGAGACGGGGCCUUCCUUUUCUGAUGUGCCAAAAGGGUGACUUGGGAGCUGGGAUUCCAGAAAGCAGUGUCUUCAAGCCCGUCUGUGCAGCAUUCCCCUUGGAAGCCUCUUCCUUGGGGUUUUCACACCGGGUUGAACACUUUGGCUCCAGAUUACCUGGAAUGACUUCAAGGCUUUUAGCUUUUCCGUAUGACUCUUCUGUGUUGGUAUGCUGGGAGAGAAGUUCUCAAAGGAGGGGAAGUCAAAUAACAAUUCACCGUGAGCAGCCAUCCAUGUGUAACUGAGGAAGGCUUAGGGUGAAAACCUCACUUUUUUUUUUUUUUUUUUUUUGAGACAGGGUCUCACACCGUCACCCAGGCUGGAAUGCAAUGCCUCAGUCACUGCAGCCUUGACCUCCCAGGCUCAAGCGAUCCUCCCUCCCCAGCCUCCAGAAUAGCUGGGACUAGAGGUUCAUGCCACCUGCUCCCCCACCCCUGGCCCCAACUAAUUUUUCUUUUUUUCUUAUUUUUGCAGACAUGGGGUUUCACCAUGUUGCCCAGACUGGUCUCAAACUCCUGGAUUGAAGUAAUCCACCUGCCCUGGCCUCCCAAAGCACUGGGUUUAUAGGCAUGAGCC